rnacentral:ribozyme from 13 species
AGAAGAAGAAGAAGAAGAAGAAGAAGAGGAUGAGGAGCUUCCUUGUGCUUUCUUCUCUUUCUCUUCAAUUGCCUUUUGUUCUUUCAUCA